ensembl:lncRNA
CCCACUCCUUGAGACAAGGUCGCCCUGAAUAUAAUGCUCAAUAACACCAAGAAAAUGUCAUAUUUUUAAAUGAAAAUCCAUACUUUUUUGCAUACCGAAUAGGAAAUACUGUCAAGAUAUUGCAAAAAUAAUGAUUUGCUAAUGAAACUUUAUUGUAAAAGAAUUGCCCAUGUGCAGAAAUCACAGAGCUGCAGAUUUCAGCUGUCAGUUUUUUAAUCUGGAAACUUUUCACCCCGUGCUUCCUGAAUUGCUUACUGUAAGCCGGACUGGUUUGAUCUGUAUUUCAUACGUAGCAUAUGGCCAGAGUGUUCCUACAUCAUCUCUUCAGGACUGAGAUGCAGUGACUGUGCCGGCUACUCUAUUAGACACAGAAUACCAGCUGGCUGCUUCCUCUCUAGAUAGUUCCCUGCAGUGAAACUGUGCUUUGGUUCAUUGUACUGCUGAAAAAUGAAAUUAGCUCUGAUUAAGUUGUGCCCAAAGCAUAUGGCAUUACGCAUAUGCAAAAUGUAGUAAUAGUAUUUUGCACAUCCUUGUUCAAGAUCCCUUUUGUUCUGUAGAAAUCUUUUACUGUACCUGCUUGAAGGGCAGUGUAUGGACUCCUCCAGCAUAUUUUCCUUUCUACUACAUUUACAAUUGUUCUAACUUUCAAAUUUAAAUACCUUGAUCUUCCCAUAGUACAUUUUCCAGUCUUCCCUUUGUCCAAUGUGCUCUUUCCCCCUUUCUAAUCUGUUUAUUUUAUUGGCUAGUCUCAGAUUUAGCCUUUUCUUUCCACUUCUGCCCAGAAGACCAUAUUCACGAGUCACCUCUUGACCAUUAUCCAGUUCAGGACCCAUGAGGGAUCCCUGCUUCUGACACUAGAGACUCAUACACUGGCCUUCUUUCUUAGUCAUUUGAAGGGGUCUCUCACAUAUUUUUUAUUGAGGUUGGUGUUAGCUGGUGCUGUUGAGCAAGUUAGUGGUAUGAGAGUAUCACAAACUAUUGUAUGAAAUAUUGUUUUGUUUGACAAUUUUCCAUACGGGAAAUCACAAAAAUACUGUGACAAGUUUCAGAGGGAAGAUUGUUUUUUAAAAUUCAUAUUGAGAAUACAGUUGAACCCACAAAGCAGACGCUCAGCUUUAGCACGGUGCUAACAUAAUUAUUGAAAAAGGGGGAUUUCUAAUCACCAUUCAGCAUUUUAACAUGAUAAAACUCCACUAGGGAACACAGCAUGCCACUCGACAGUGGAAGUAAUGAUUGCUGAAGGUGGGCCUCCGCUACGCCUCCGCUGACUUUCCAUUACAAAUCAGUAAUGGGAAAUUAUCAGUGAAUCGACGCCUACUUUAACCAAAGAUGACAAGCUGGAGUUGCAAAACACCAACCCAGAGAGGGAUCUCAGCGGGAGGCGCUUUCUGUUAGAUAGAAAAUGUGUGAUGUUAGAGAGGACCAAAACUGUGAUUCCUCCACUGCCAAGAGACUACCAUGUGCACAGACCUGGUAACCUCCCAUCCUUCAGCCUCUCCAAGGAGCUUUCCCACAGCCACACAGGGCGACCCUUCACCCUGGGGUACCCUGAAAGCUAUAAACUGAACACAAAUCCAGCCGUCCUCAUUCCCUCAGCUUUAGUCCUCAGUGGCAGAAACACCUUUUCGGUUGAGAACUGCAAGCUUGGCAGGCCCAAGGUGAAAUAUCCAUCCUCCAACGUAAUGACUGUUAAAAACAAUCAGAAAAGCCAGUCCUAUCCGGACCCAAUAGCUGGAGCCUCUCGCUCUUACAUCCACAGGAUAUCUGAGCUGUCCUCUCUGGAGGGCGAGACGGUGAGGCAGGAAAAGCUCAAGAAAAUGAGAAAACCUCGAAAGACUCCAUCCUGACAAUCACCUCCUUCCCAGUCACACUGGUCGAGGUUAAAAACAUUCGAGUCUGUGCCAACGACAGAACAGAAUAAACCACUUAGGGCGCCAUGUUCAUUUCAGUGGCUCGUUCUGACUGCUUGUUUGUCCUCUGUGAUAUUAGUUUGCUGCUUGGUAUGGCUGGUGGUUACAUUCUGGGAUUCUUAAUUACGUGUAGUACGGACUUGCAACAAUAAAUGCCGGUGAUGAAUAUUAGGUAAACAUUUUCCAGUCUGACGCACAGCUGUCAGCAGUUUUCCACCCAGCACCUGCAUGCAGGAUAUUUAAUUUAGCUUUCUAAUGGCUCUUGUAUAAUGCGGCCAUAUUUCUUUCUGUAUCAUCUGUAUCAUAUUUCAUACGGUGUCCAUCUUUGGCCUCAUCGUUACCACAGUGUUUCAGACAUACAGCAUAUCUAAGCUUUGUUAAGUAAGUGAAAUAUUGACAUAUAUAGUAAAUAGUUUAGCAAAGCCAUAAUUGUGCCUUGUUAACUGUCUUCCUGAAAUUAAAUAAAUUUAUUUUUGUUAUUUUGAGGACCUUCCUUCAUGUGUAUAGCUUUUUUUUCACCACAUAUGUGGACCGUCACACCACUUUUUGGUGCAAACACUACAUAUAGACCACUACAAUUAGCAAAAUAUGCAUUCCAUAUUUACGAAACAGACACAAAACUGUGCCCC